rnacentral:rRNA from 1 species
GUGUCAGCCGCCGCGGUAAUACGUAGGGGGCAAGCGUUGUCCGGAUUUAUUGGGCGUAAAGAGCUCGUAGGCGGCUAUGUUAGUCGGGUGUGAAAACUCGUGGCUUAACCGUGGAGGGUCAUUGGAAACUGGAAAACUUGAGUGCAGAAGAGGAAAGUGGAAUUCCAUGUGUAGCGGUGAAAUGCGCAGAGAUAUGGAGGAACACCAGUGGCGAAGGCGACUUUCUGGUCUGUAACUGACGCUGAUGUGCGAAAGCGUGGGGAUCAAACAGGAUUAGAUACCCCCGUAGUCC